GCAGCCGUGCACUCUACAUGUGCACACGCUCCCUUGUAUUGCCGCAGGCAACAACCAUGCUGUAAUCAUCAGGCAGAUGGCAUCAUUCACUGCCAGCUAUCGGAUCUGACGUGACGUCUUGGUUCCUUACAAGCCCAGACAGUUUCACCACAUGUCCUGUUUCUGCGCAUGGGAAACGCCCACGUCGGUCCUAUAAAAGGAAGGUGGACCCGGCCAACUUCACAGAGUAGAGCCAGCAGCCGUGCACUCUACAUGUGCUCACGCUCCCUUGUAUUGCUGCAGGCAACAACCAUGCUGUAAUCAUCAGGCAGAUGACAUCAUUCACCGCCAGCUAUUGGAUCUGACGUGACAUCGUGGUUGCUUACAAGCCGAGACAGUUUCACCACAUGUCCUGUUUCUGUGCAUGGGAAACGCCCACGUUGGUCCUAUAAAAGGAAGGUGGACCCGGCCAACUUCACAGAGUAGAGCUAGCAGCCGUGCACUCUACAUGUGCUCACGCUCCCUUGCAUUGCUGCAGGCAACAACCAUGCUGUAAUCAUCAGGCAGAUGACAUCAUUCACUGCCAGCUAUCGGAUCUGACGUGACGUUGUGGUUCCUUACAAGCCCAGACAGUUUCGCCACGUGUCCUGUUUCUGCGCAUGGGAAACGCCCACGUCAGUCCCAUA
rnacentral:misc_RNA from 1 species